UGCCGCCUCGUGCCCCAUUGCCCCAUUGUUUUUUCCCCUGUAAAACACUUAGUAAUAUAAGAUUGAACAAUAUAGUGAUAAUUUAUAUUUUAAUUUAGUUGACCAGAUAACUCAUGAAGAUGAUUUUAUAUGUUAAUUUAAUUGACCAGAUUACUGGACGUGAAUUUAAGCAAAAAUAUUAAUCUCAGUCAACUGACCAGAUUACUAGAUGAAGGAUUGCAGAAAGUAGUCAAUCUCUUUUCUUUGAAUAGAUGACUGAAGGAGGGAAUCUUUUAAGUGAGUUGUUAUUUACUAGAUUUUAAAAAAUUAAUAAUAUGUAAACUUAAAAUAAAAAGACAAAAAACAAGUCAAAAGAUUUAUAUUGGUUCACCUAAACAAAGGUUAAUUCAAUUUUAAUGAAAUCGGAGAUCACUAACCUAAAGGUCAUUACAAUACCUUUUGCAAGCUUUAUGACUACACCGCUUACGAACUAAGUCUACUAUAGGUAGACUUAAUUCUUAGAGUAUUCAAGGGCACUCUUAAGAAUCUCUGUAAGUUUUACGACAACUUCGCUUACGAAUCAGUGUUUUACGAGUAGAGUCACACCUAAUUAAGAGUAUUUAAGGGCACUCUUAGAAACAUAUCAAGCCUUCACCGGUAGACUUGAAAACAUAGAGUUUUAAGAAAACUCUUAAAAACCUUUGAAUCUUUGAGGUAGAUUCAACCUAUGAGUUUUUUCGAAAACUCUAUAAAACUUAACAUUGAGCUUUUUGGUUAAAUUUAAAAACCUUCCCUCACACUUUGGUGAUCUUGAGACAAACCUCUCAACCAAAGUGGAACACACAUAAGAAUGGUUGUAGGAUAUUGAAAUAUAAAAUACAAAUCACUUUUUAUUUGCCUUGUAGAUUGAUAUUAGAAGAUAAGAAUAAGAAGUGUUGAACUAGAUCUCUCUUUGGAAGCUUUUGGUGUUAGACCACAAGUUGAGGGAUGAAUGCUUUGAACUCACAAAUUGGAGAUUUGAAGAGAGUGUGGGAGCUCAAAAUCGUUUGGAGCUUGUUAGCCUCCAAAUGGUAGAAGCAUUCCUUUAUUUAUAGAAAAAUAGAGCCUCAUCAAGGGUUUUGUGUUUUCUCACUACAUUCCUAAAACGCUUGACUUCUUAGAUUCUUUUUUUGAAUUUCAAUUCCUUUGUGUAAGAGAAUGUCAGCAUCUUUUUAACCUGUUGAUAAAUCAUUGUACCUUGGAUAGAAUUAAUUAAUAAGAGUAAUAGUAAUCAAGGUAGUUAAUUAUAAUCAAUCCAUAUCUAAUUGUUGACUUAGUUGACGAAUAUUAGAUUUUGACAUUCAGAUUCAUUUCACCAGUAUAUAAUUAAUUUUUAUGAGAUUAAUAUGAUUAAUACUCAGAUUGGAAUUGAAUUGAUUUAAAUGUGUUUACAUGUAUUGUAUUUUAGUACUAGUACUUAGUUAUUCAGUUAGUUAUCCUAAUUAGUUUGUUACACGAUGAUGUGGAAUGCCCAUCACUUAUACACCUCUUCCCUUAAAAUUGUGGGCCUUCUUUGACCAGUUCUUUCUGAAAAUUUUCGAAUUGUUGAGUUGGGAGUGGUUUGGUUAGACCAUCUGUCCAUUGCUCUUUUCUUGAUAUGUGUUGGACCAUAAUCUCUCCUUUUUCUGUUCUUUCCUUUACGAAUUGUAAAUCUAUUACGACGUGUUUUAGCUUGCAAUGGCCAAUUGGAUUCUUGGUUAUAAACGUAGCUUCUAUAUUGUCGGAAAUGAUUUUUAUUGGCUUUGGGACUAUUAAGCCUAGUUCGGACAAUGUUGAUCACACUGCUUCGACUUCUUGAGUUGUGGUUGCUAUCGCCUGGUAUUCCGCUUCGGUACUUGAUCUUGCUAAAGUGUUAUGUUUUCGUGAGAUCCAUGAUACAAGUGUGUCCCCUAUGAAUACAAGGAACCCUGUUCGACUCUUUCUAUCAACUGAGUCACCACCCCAAUCGGAGUCGCAGUAGGCUUUUGUGUUCCUGCUCUCCGGAUUGAAAUGCCGUAUUUUUGUGUUCCUGCUAAGUAUCGUAGUACCCUUUUUACGGCUGCCCAGUGUUUGGGUUUCGGGCAUGCCAUGGCUUGGGAUAAGAUAUUUACGGAGACUUGGACGUCCAGUCUGGUCAUCGUGAUGUAUUGGAGUGACCCUAUGAUUCGUCGAUAUUCUUUUGCGUUCUGUAUUGGCUCUUCGUCUGAAGCGAUGUCGAAGUUUGCUAUCAUUGGAGUCGUGGUUGGUUUUAUAUUUUCCAUUCCACAACUUUUUAAUAAAUUCGCCAAGUAUUGGGAUUGUGCCAGAUGAAUCCCAUUUUCAACAUAUGAAACUUGUAUCCCCAAGAAAAAUUUCAAUUUACCCAACUCCCUUAGCGGAAAUUCUGUGCUUAAUUUUGAAAUUAUCUUCUUUACCUCCGUUUCUAUCGACCCAACAACGACGAUAUCGUCGACAUAUACGAAGAAGAAUGCUGUGAAAUUCACUUGAAUGAGGAUGAAUAAGGAUGGGUCAAUUGGUGACUCCUUGAAAUCUAUCGAUGUGAGAAAUUUCCUAAGUCUCUGGAACCAACAUUUGGGUGAUUGUUUUAGCCCACAUAAUGAUCGGUGAAGACGACAUACGUAAUCUGGAUUUUUCAUGUCUAUGAACCCAAAUGGCUGCGAUACAACAAUCCUUUCCUUCAAUUCUCCAUGAAGAAAUGCAUUUGAAAUAUCCAAUUGAUGCAUUGCCUACCCUUUUGAUACUGCAACUAGAAGGACUAGUCGGAUUGACAGUGGUCGGAUAACUGGACUGAAUGUGUCUUCAUAGUCAGUGCCUUGGAUUUGUCUCAUUCCGUUAGCAACUAAUCUUGCUUUCAACCGUUCAACCGAUCCAUCUUCGUUAAUCUUGACCUUGUAGACCCAUUUUGUAUUUAUCACGUUAUCCCCUGCAUCUUUUGGAACCAGUGUCCACGUUUUGUUUUGUUCAAGUGCGCGAAAUUCGACUGACAUUGCUUCUUUCCAUUCCAGGAUUGUGAGAGCAUAUUUCGCAGAUUUCGGGAUUGGUAUUUCUGUUGGGGCUACGACGAGCGCACACCUUGAAUUGGGUUUGUGAAUACCGGCCGCGGCUCUUGUCACAAUGGUGGAAGUUCGUUUCUCUGGUAUUUCUUCCGAUUCUUCGUCGGAGUCGGACUGCGCAUAUGUCGAUUUCUCCGAAUUGUUAUCAAAGUGAUCUGCGAUCGUCCGGAUAAUCGCUGGUUUGGAAGCUCCCGGUAUAAUUUGUUGUUCCGGCGAGGUGUUGAUUCGAUUUCCAGUGUCUACGUCCUUCGGAUUCCCCAAAUCAUUUGUCGGACUUUCGAGUCUAUUUGAAUUGGCCGAAUCGUUAUUUGGACUUCCGAGUUCAAUUGAAUUAUUUGGUGUAUCAUUUGAGUUGUCCGGGUUCCCUAACUCGUUACUCGGGCCUCUGGAUCCGGUUGCUUGGGUUGGGGGUUAUAUGUUAUUAUCCCUAAAUCAGUUGUUGCAAUCGGAUUCUUUUGAUACCCAAUUUUAUCAGAAUUUUCUUUUGAGUCCCCGUAGUAUUUUAUAUUUAUUAAGAAUUCCUCCUCGUUAAAAUCGACGUCCCUUGACGCAUACACUCUUUGGCUCGUCGGUUCUAGGCACAAAUAGAAGUUUUGUGACAUUGAAUAUCCCACAAAGAUGCAUGCCGCAGAUUUUGCGUCUAAUUUAUUUCCGCGAUACGGUCGAAGACAUGAGUAGCAUGCACAUCCGAACACUUUAAACUGUUUGUACUCCGGUUUUCUUUUAAACAAAAUUUCCAUUGGCGAUUUUCCGUUUAGCAAUGGUGAGAGAUUUCGGUUAUAGAGGUAACUUGCCGUGAGUACCCCGAAGUCCCAAAAUUCAUUUGGUAACCUUGAAUGUCGUAACAUUGUUACCGUACACUACAAGAAAACAGGGAAACAGCCACGGCCAAGUUCACUGGCUAAAUGGCAAAAUCCGUGGCUAAAUUGAUUUAGCCACGGGAAUUAGCCACGGGAGCUGCCGUGGCUGUAAGUCUGGUGGCUGCUGUUUUUUGGCCACGGAAAUGGUUUUCCGUGGCUAAAUAUUAGCCACGGCCAUUUAUUUUAGCCACGGCCAAAAUCCGUGGCUAAUGUUAAAAAAUUAGCCACGGCAUAAUUCAGUGGCUAAUGUUAAAAAAAUUAGCCACGGCAUAAUUCAGUGGCUAAUUUUAUUUAGCCACGGAUUUUGGCCGUGGCUAAUCCUUAACUGGCCGUGGCUAAAUCCUUGAAACAGAGUAGAAAGUGAAGGGCCACGGCCAAAAUCCGUGGCUAAUCCUUAACGGGCCGUGGCUAAAUCCUUGAAACAUAGUGGAAAGUGAAGGGCCACGGCCAAAAUCCGUGGCUAAUCCUUAACUGGCCGUGGUUAAAUCCUUGAAACAGAGUUGAAAGUGAAGGGCCACGGUCAAAAUCCGUGGCUAAAUGCCAAAAGGCCGUGGCUAAUUUCUAAAAUAAUUAUAGGAAAUAUUUACAUUUUAGAAGACGCCUAUUGAAGGUCUUACACAUUCAUAUAACCUGAAAAAAUCAAUGAAACAUAUAUUUACAUUCAUAUUCCAUUCAUACACAUUCCAUUCAUACACAAAUAUCCCUCAAAAUUAUCCAAAACAUUCAUUACAUUUAUAUUCCAUACCUAUAACCAAACAUACCAUUCCAAAACAUUCAAUAACCAAUAAAACAUAUCAUUCCAUUCCAAAACGUACCAUUCAAUUAAUAAGCAACAAAACAUACCAUUCAUACAAUUCAUGUUAUUCAAAACUAAACCAAAAGAUAAAAGAAGAGGAACCUAUUUGUUGGUGUUUGUCACGCUAUUCGUCGCACUUUUACUCGGACUUUUACUCAGACUUUUACUCGGACUCUUGCCAAUAUUUUCGACAUUUGAAUCUCUUGUAAUAGGCAUGAUUAUGGUGUUGUGUCCUUGGCUCGACUGACCCUAAUGUAAAAAAAAAUUGAAAUUACAAAGAAAAUAUGAAUAUUGAUUUAUAUAUAAAUGCUAAUUACCUCAAUCGUCUCUGACGUAAGUCUUCCCUAUCAUUAAAUGGGGAAAAAUAGGCGCAAAGAAAAUAUCCUUAUCUCACCUUUUGCAGAUUUGAUUUGAUUAAGAAGAUAUUCUCUUUCUUGCGGAUCAAGUAGCAACUGCUGGGCCUUUGCCAAUGCUGCCAUUAUCAAUAUGAUUAAUGAGCUACAUCAUAUUUAUUUAUAAAUAAUUAUUUCUAAACAAAGAAGUUAACAUAACACAAUUACAUCAUAUAAUAAUCAUUUUUUUAUUGUCGUGUAAUACAAACAUAACUACAUAAGUGAUAAUGGAAUCUAGUAUAGGUCUAUUACUGGAAUCUAGUAUAUUUCUAUUCUUUAAUCUUUAAAGUUCGUACUGUUAAGUAUUUUUAAUCUCUAAGGAAAGGGGAAACCCUUUUAGUGGUAACAUUUCCUGAUUCAUCCUUAGUGCUUCUCCCCAAGAGUCUGAAUUCAAGCCACUUUGAUAAACAUAUCAAAUCAAAUGAAAUGAAUUUUCUAAGUAAUUUUUCAUUAAAAGUAGGACAAGAAAAAUCACCAGAAAGUAGAUCAACAAAGAAGUUCAGAAUCUUAGUAUUAACAGCUUCAGAUGGGCAUCUAUCUAAAGCAUUGAUAAUGACUAAUAGAUCCACAUGUUGGUUAUCGAAGAGAAUUUCAGCUUCAGAAACACUGGAAGCACCAAAAAAGAAUUUGAAAACAACUUCCUUUGAAUGAUCUACACUUUUGAAUUUAAGCAAACUAUGCAAAACAGAGACUAUGACCUGGACAUUAAGAGCACAUGAAACAAGAAUAGCACUGGAAAUUUCAGGAAAUAAUGGGAAACCAUGCAGUAAACUGUCUAAAAUGAGAGGAAUUGGGUAACCAUUGUUCCUUUUUUUCAAAAGCCCAUCCAACUUUGAUAGAAAACAAAACACAGAUUCUAGUUUUGAGGAUUUGGAAUUACACUUCUCAAUUAUCCAGUCAGAACCUCUUUCAUUCCCAAUUACAGGGUUUCACGACUUAACUUAAUUUCUAGUCACCUAGUCCCGACAUAUUCAGUAUUUUUUUUGCAUAAAUAAAAUCCUAUAUGAUAGUAUAAUACCUCCAAAAGCUUCUUGUGCUUGUGUAAGAGAAAUUUAGAUGCUCAAAAGGAUUCAACUUGAAUGUAUUCUGCAGGAUACAUGGUUCUUAAUUCGAUGAAAAAAGAUGAAUUGCAUAUUACAUAACUAAUUACCUGCAAACAGUAAUCAAAUACAAACUAAAACAAGUACAUAUAUGUAAUGAUGUAAUCACUAAUCUCAUUUACCAUUCAAUCUUCAAUCAUUUCGAUUCAUAUAUUAUUUUGAAAUGGAGAGCUCAACUAAUUAUGAAGUUAUAGAUAAAGUUGCAGCUAGAGACAUGAAUCAUUACUGAAAGGAAAACAGAACGAGCUAAAUUUAAAUGAUCUGUCUCAACAACAAAAACUCAGUAAAAUAUCUACACGAUCAAAUAGGGGAUAAAUAGAACUCAGCUAAAUUGUCUCAUUGUUCAUCAUCAAUGGAUCGUCUAGUUUUAAAUCAUAUUUUUACAUGUAUUCUUGCAUAAAUAUUUCUUGUUCCAUAUUUUCGUUUUUUCCUAAAUUUUUAUUUCUUAAUGUAUUAACCAUGUAUCUAGGCUGCAACAAAUUUUUCCAUUGUUAAAUAUUGAAUCUUGCUGCAUCACCAAUUCACCAUGUAAAAUCACAGAUAUACAGUUUGAUAACUUGAUUCUCCUUUAAACAUUGCAUUAUGGAUAUGUUAAACACUUUAAUUUUUAAGCAUUUUCUUCCUUAGUAAUUAAGCAUUUUCUUCCAACAGUUUAAUGAACAUUGACCAUCACAUUGUUUAGUUACUAUAGGAUUUAUCAGAAACAAAACGUAAAGUAAAAAAAACGAUAUAAGGCCAGAAAAUGAAUUACUAGAACUUGCUCUAAUGUACCAGAAAGUUACUUCUGAAAGAGAUAUAGGCAUUGAGUUUAAAAACAAAGAACAGAUCUGCAUUGAGUUUGUCAAUCAUUUAAAUCAUUAAUCAAAUGUAAAAGUUUCUAAUUUUGCAGUUUCUAAUCAACAAUUCGAGACCGGAUUACCGCUUACCGCAGUUUCUAAUUUUGCAUACCUGAUUACCGCUUGCGGAGACCGGACAGAGACCGGACAGAAGUUGACAAUCACCGUUCGUGCUCACCUGAGAGGUUGGAAUCGUCGGGAGGUUGGAAUCGUCGGAAAUAGGAUUUGGGGAAAUGAGAAACGGGAAAUAGGAUUUGGGGAAAUUUAGGGGUUUUGGUUUUAUUUCAAUGUUUUGGUUUAUUUUAAUCUAGGUUUUAUUUAACUUAAUUUAUAAUAUAUAAC
rnacentral:lncRNA from 1 species